GAUGAAGAACGUAGCGAAAUGCGAUACGUAAUGUGAAUUGCAGAAUUCAGUGAAUCAUCGAAUCUUUGAACGCAUAUUGCGCUCUCUGGUAUUCCGGAGAGCAUGCUUGUUUGAGUAUCAGUAAACACCUCAACUUCCAUAUCUUUUUUGAAAUGGGAGUUGGACUUGAGUGAUCCCAACGCUUUUCCUCACCGAAAAGUGGCGGGUUACUUGAAAUGCAGGUGCAGCUGGACUUUUCUCUGAGCUAUACGCAUAUCUAUUUAGUCUGCCUAUAAACAUAUUAUUACCUUUGCUGCAGCUAACAUAAAGGAGAUUAGUCCUUGUGCUGACUGAUGCAGGAUUCACAAAGACAGGCGUCGGCCGACUUUGUAAACUCGAUCUCAAAUCAAGUAAGACUACCCGCUGAACUUAAGCAUAUCAAUAAGCGGAGGA
rnacentral:misc_RNA from 1 species